UACAGAGGUCUCAAGCGUUGUUCGGAUUCAUUGGGCGUAAAGGUGCGUAGGUGGCGCCGUAAGUCGGGUGUGAAAUUUCGGAGCUUAACUCCGAAACUGCAUUCGAUACUGCGGUGCUUGAGGACUGGAGAGGAGACUGGAAUUCAUGGUGUAGCAGUGAAAUGCGUAGAGAUCAUGAGGAAGACCAGUGGCGAAGGCGGGUCUCUGGACAGUUCCUGACACUGAGGCACGAAGGCCAGGGGAGCAAACGGG
rnacentral:rRNA from 1 species